rnacentral:misc_RNA from 1 species
AAAAAAAAAAAAAAAAACUGAAAUUUAAAAUAAUUAAGUGAUUCCGGCUUUUAGCAUUUGAUUUUUGUAAAAGAGAAGGGAUAUUUGUAGAGGGCUUGCAUAGGAAUAUAGAUGAAAGGACUUAUAUACCACUAUUUCGAUUUUGAUAUCUGUACUCUGUAAGCAGAAGGCAUGCAUGCUCUUUGAUGAGUGGAAUUUUUGGUAUUUCAAUGCAUACUGGGCUUAGGCAGGUCUUGGCCAACACUAGCAAAAAUAAAUUACCUUUUUUGAUGGCCAAAUUCUAAGGUUAUGGGUAGGGUGGGAAGUAAUUAAUCCUAUUUGGAAUUUGGAUAUGCAGUAUGGUCUUUCUGCCCUGUCAACGAUUUUUUGAAGUUACACUUCCUUUUCUAGGAAUUUCCAAGUGUUUCUUUAAUGAUUGAUCCAUAUGAAUAUGCAUUUUACACAAAUAAUUUUGAGAAGGAAUGGGACUGAUUCUCAGGAUUGACCUGCAAUUUGUUGGACUAGUCAGGUUCUGGCCUUCUGGGAGUGCCAAAGCCAAGCUGUAAAAUACUUUUAGGAAUGUAUAAUAGAGGUCUUGAAAGUUGUAAUUAAUAACGUGAUUUUCCCAGCAUGCGGGAACAUCUAUAGAUCUGCCUGGUGUGUAGGGAAUGGAAAGAAUGGACUUUAAAAAGAGGGAGAGACAAUAAAAAGUUAAGGGGGAAAGAGGGGUCAAAUUAAAUAAUGGUUUUGAAUCUCAUUGUUUAGCAAAUCUUGAUAUGUAUCAGAUAAAAUUAUUCCUUUCUCACCAAUUAUAAACAAUCUGCAAUUAAGGAAAGAAAGAGGUUAGAAUUAGAUUGAUGAUAUGCAACGUAUUUCUCUUAUCACACUGAAAUAGACCAAGUUACUUUGAUGAUGAGUAUUUUUUUUUUUUAUAUUUUUUUAGAAUUAUUACUAUUUAGUAGGAAUUUUAGAAUAUGAUUUAAGAGUUUUAAAA